UACGUAGGCAGCGAGCGUUGUUCGGAGUUACUGGGCGUAAAGGGUGUGUAGGCGGUUGUUUAAGUUUGGUGUGAAAUCUCCCGGCUUAACUGGGAGGGUGCGCCGAAUACUGAAUGACUAGAGUGCGGGAGAGGAAAGUGGAAUUCCUGGUGUAGCGGUGAAAUGCGUAGAUAUCAGGAGGAACACCGGUGGUGUAGACGGCUUUCUGGACCGUAACUGACGCUGAGACACGAAAGCGUGGGUAGCAAACAGG
rnacentral:rRNA from 1 species